rnacentral:sRNA from 1 species
GGGGGUGAAAUACUCACAAAGGACUCCUUGUGUGUUACGUACCACCUGAUACAGCGCUAUGGUGGGGUUCCAUCUAGCUCAGUCGGGGCACCGAUUUAGGGUUGAAUUCCCAACCCUGCCACCAUCAGCUCUAGGGGUCGAACAAUCAAAAGGAACAACAUGAAAAUUAAAACAAACGAAUCGAAAUAAAAGUUCAAAACGCAUGCGACCAUAACACGGGAAAUUGAUGUUAAUAAUUCCCACACAUAGCCCACCCAACCUUGACCCUUAGAUCCUCAUCAAAGAUUUCAAUUCAAUUUAUGUUUGUUAAUAAGCACUCAGCCUCUGGGCAUAGAUACUCCAAAAAGAAAUGUUCCUUAAGGCCGGUCUUCAUAUAAAAACACAAAUUGGAACAAUUUUCGACAAGAGUUAAAUUUAAUGUCAACGCAAAUUAUGCCGCCAAUUAAUAGGAACCUAUCAAAUGGACAAAUCGACGAUGUUAUCGAAGACUUUAACUGCGAACUUCUUCGAAUUCACAACAACCAUUCACAAAAAAUUGCCCUAAAUAUCCAUAAACCGCCUUUCUCCGAUAAGGUGCAGAAUUUUCUCAAAGUUAAACAUAGAUGGCAGAAGGAACUAAAGAAGAUUUACCACCGUACUGGAAAUAGGAUAAGCCCUGAAUACGCUAUACUUUCUAAGCAAAUCCAACUUCUUAAAAUUAUCAUUCAAAAUCUAAUCAAUACUGAAUCUGCGCAGGCGUUCAGUAAUAAAUUGAAAGCUAUCAAACCCGGGCCAUC